CCUAAAUUCCAAAUUUCCUUUUGUUUUCAGUUGUAUUUUCAGAUGAAUCUAAAGUCAUAAGUCAAGUUUUCGCCAAUGUUUUCUAGUAUUUUCAAAUAAUUUGUUGUGAUUUUAAUGCAUACAUGGGUUUAUAUCCUGCAGUGAAUACAUUAAUUUUAUCAACAAGUUUCAUCAGAUAAAAAGACAAACAUCUUUCUUUGAGUUGAGGCACGGAUUAUAUUGUAAUAUUUUGAUUUGAAUAUGAAUUUUGUGCAGCAAUCUUGGAGUUUAGAAGUAGAUAGGAGCUACUAUAUCUUCAUUCCAUUAGAUCCUUCAGGUUUACGUGUAAGGGUUAUGUGAAUCAGAUGGCUUAUGCUGGAGUUCUGCCAAUGAAUCGAAGAAUCCAAUUCAUUAUGUACAGUCUUCAAAUUGGACGUUCUUUUGUUCAAUAAUUUGGUAAUAUAUACAGAAGAAUAUCUUAUUUGACAUAACUGAAUUGUUUCAUUACCUCUUGUUGGAAAAAUCAAUAUGUAUUAUAAUGUGUAAUAAAAAGUAUAUCAUUA